rnacentral:rRNA from 1 species
AACCAGCACCUCAAGUGGUCAGGAGGAUUAUUGGGCCUAAAGCAUCCGUAGCCGGCUCUGUAAGUUUUCGGUUAAAUCCAUGUGCUCAACGCAUGGGCUGCCGAAAAUACUGCAUAGCUAGGGAGUGGGAGAGGUAGACGGUACUCGGUAGGAAGGGGUAAAAUCCUUUGAUCUAUCGAUGACCACCUGUGGCGAAGGGGACUUUCUGGACAGAUACUGACGCUGAGACGCGAAAGCGUGGGGAGCAAACAGG